rnacentral:rRNA from 1 species
AGAGUUUGAUCCUGGCUCAGGACGAACGCUGGCGGCGUGCCUAACACAUGCAAGUCACGGGGGGUAGCAAUACCAACCGGCGAACGGGUGCGGAGCACGUGAGCAAUCUACCGAUUACUGGGGGAUAGCCGGCCCAACGGCCGGGUAAUACCGCAUACGCUCAAGAGGGGACAUCCCCAUUUGAGGAAACCUCCGGGUGUAAUCGAGGAGCUCGCGUCUUAUCAGCUAGUUGGUGAGGUAACGGCUCACCAAGGCUACGACGGGUAGCUGGUCUGAGAGGAUGGCCAGCCACAUUGGGACUGCGACACGGCCCAGACUCCUACGGGAGGCAGCAGUGGGGAAUAUUGCGCAAUGGACGAAAGUCUGACGCAGCGACGCCGCGUGUGGGAUGAAGCUCUUCGGGGUGUAAACCACUGUUGCCCGGGACGAAUAUCCUUUUUUGAAAGGAUUGACGGUACCGGGUGAGGAAGCACCGGCUAACUCUGUGCCAGCAGCCGCGGUAAUACAGAGGGUGCGAGCGUUGUCCGGAAUCACUGGGCGUAAAGGGCGCGUGGGUGGCUUGUUAAGCGUGUGGUGAAAGCCUGGGGCUCAACCCCAGGUCUGCCGUGCGAACUGGCAAGCUUGAGCGUAGUAGAGGCAGGUGGUAUUUCGGGUGUAGCGGUGGAAUGCGUAGAUAUCCGAAAGAACACCGGUGGCGAAGGCGGCCUGCUGGACUACUGCUGACACUGAUGCGCGACAGCGUGGGGAGCAAACAGGAUUAGAUACCCUGGUAGUCCACGCCGUAAACGAUGGGUACUAGGCGUCUGGGGGAGCGACCCCCUGGGUGCCGGCGCUAACGCAUGAAGUACCCCGCCUGGGGAGUACGGCCGCAAGGCUGAAACUCAAAGGAAUUGACGGGGGCCCGCACAAGCGGUGGAGCAUGUGGUUUAAUUCGACGCAACGCGAAGAACCUUACCUGGGUUUGACAUGCUGGAGAAAGCCCUCAGAAACGGGGGCCCCUCUUCGGAGUUCCAGCACAGAUGCUGCAUGGCUGUCGUCAGCUCGUGUCGUGAGAUGUUGGGUUAAGUCCCGCAACGAGCGCAACCCUCAUCCCUAGUUACCAGCGGGUAAAGCCGGGAACUCUAGGGGGACUGCCGGUGCCAAACCGGACGAAGGUGGGGACGACGUCAAGUCAUCAUGGCUCUUACAUCCAGGGCUACACACGUGCUACAAUGGGCCAGACAAAGGGUCGCCAACCCGCGAGGGGGAGCCAAUCCCAUAAACUGUCCUCAGUUCGGAUUGCAGUCUGCAACUCGACUGCAUGAAGCUGGAAUCGCUAGUAAUCGUGGAUCAGCUACGCCACGGUGAGUACGUUCCCGGGCCUUGUACACACCGCCCGUCACGCCAUGGAAGCUGUGAGUGCCCGAAGUCCGUGCAGGAACCCGCAAGGGGCCGAGCGGCCGAAGGCAAGCGCAGUGACUGGGGCGAAGUCGUAACAAGGUA